GGGCAUGCACAACAGGCAAUCCUCCAAGCUAAAGCAGCCUCCUACGGAUCUUCGGGAAAAGCACAUCAAUUUUUUUUCAAGCGAAAAGUACGGGGUUUUCAGAACGUGAAGGAGAGCAUAAGUCACAAUUCCGCCACUUCCUUCAACAUCGAAGCAGCACACACACGCACACACACACACAGACCGGCCGCACACGGACGAAACCCGUCACCAACGCGGGCAAUGGCGUCGGACAUUAUUGUGCAAGAUACAGCGUCGCAAUGCCUUUUCCUAUCACGUCGUCGACGCUCGAUGAAAACGCGCAGCUACUGCUACCGCACUGCUCCCACUGCAGCGCCAAAACGACGUGGCCACCCCUACAACGGAAUGGGGCCCAGUGACGUAACAACAGCGGAAUCGGACACCAUUUGCAAAAAUGAACUCAAACCAGAAGAAAGCCCAAUGUGUCCUCUGGUAUCACAAUACACAGUGACCAAGAAAGUCCAAAGAUAAUUCCAGACAGCAUACCAUAGACACCUACCAGACAUUAAAAGCAUCAAGAUGUGGUAUGCGAAGUCUAAGGCAACAGAAAGCAUCUGUCAUCUCCCUAGAACAGGCAGGCCUGGACCUAGUGCGCAGGUAAUUCAGACAGUGAGAGACGUCUUCGUGAAAAGUCCCAAGAAGUCAGUCCGCAGAGCUUCAUGCGAGUUGCAGAUUCCGAAGACAUUAGUGCACCGCAUCCUAUGUUGACCAACACAUGGGUGGAGUUGAAAUAUCGCCUGGAUAUCCUUCGGGCAACAAAAGGACCACACGUCAAAAUUUAUUAUGUGUGUGUACAUAAUAACGUGAUUAUGUUACCCGGACUUCAAUAUAAAAGAUAUGCAUCUAUGUGUCAUAGUUGCUGCCUUCCGCAUGUUUGUAAUCAGGGAAAGACUUCUGGGACACGCUGUAUUUUUUCAGCUGGUAUGCAGAUUACUCUUCAGAUGCUCACCAUGUCUCUUUGCAGUUAUUAAAAAGCCAUUGUUAAAGUA